rnacentral:rRNA from 1 species
UGGAUUAGGCAUGCAAGUCGUACGCGAAAGAGGGAGCAAUCCCUUGAGUAGAGUGGCGAACGGGUGAGUAACGCGUGAGGAACCUGCCUUUGACAGGGGGAUAACACUCCCAACGGGGUGCUAAUACCGCAUGAGACCACGGGAUCGCAUGGUCCUGAGGUCAAAGAUGGCCUCUAUUUAUAAGCUAUCGGUCAGAGAUGGCCUCGCGUCCCAUUAGCUUGUUGGCGGUGUAAAAGACCACCAAGGCGACGAUGGGUAGCUGGUCUGAGAGGAUGGUCAGCCACACUGGGACUGAGAUACGGCCCAGACUCCUACGGGAGGCAGCAGUCGAGAGGCUUCGGCAAUGGGGGAAACCCUGACCGAGCGACGCCGCGUGGAGGAUGAAGGCCCUUGGGUUGUAAACUCCUUUUAUUCGGGAAGAAGUGCGAUCAGGUGAAUAAUCUGGUCGUUUGACGGUACCGGAUGAAUAAGCUCCGGCUAACUCCGUGCCAGCAGCCGCGGUA